rnacentral:rRNA from 1 species
UACGUAGGGUGCGAGCGUUGUCCGGAUUUAUUGGGCGUAAAGAGCUCGUAGGCGGUUUGUCGCGUCGGCCGUGAAAUCUCCACGCUUAACGUGGAGCGUGCGGUCGAUACGGGCAGACUUGAGUUCGGUAGGGGAGACUGGAAUUCCUGGUGUAGCGGUGAAAUGCGCAGAUAUCAGGAGGAACACCGGUGGCGAAGGCGGGUCUCUGGGCAACAACUGACGCUGAGGAGCGAAAGCGUGGGGAGCGAACAGG